CCUUCCCACAGAGGCAUUGCAGGUAUGUCUGCUGUGUCACAUGUGUGUCAGUAGGUGGCAUAGAGGGGACAGGUUAUGUCUAUGCUGUGCUCUGACCUAUGAACAUCUGAAUGAUUGUCUAAACAUU
ensembl:snoRNA LOC120101326 small nucleolar RNA SNORA17